AAAAUAGUAUCUUGACUUCACAAUAGUAAAGGAGUUUCGUUUUCUCUUCGUUCUGUCUCCAACUCUUUCCGUCUGAAACACCUCCAGCACCUCCGCUAUGGUUUCUGCAACACCUCCACCUCCACCAUGAAACAAGAACAACAACUACGACAAAUAUGAUACCUAACAACAGAUUUCAGCCUAGCAACCAUUGCAAUUGCUUUCCAUUCUUUAUGCUAACGAACACCUGAGGCCUUAACAUCACAUUCCAACUCAGAUUAGGAUCUAGACGUGUUUGGACAUGAGGUGUUAGUCUUAGCAUUGAUGUGUUUUUCGUUAGUUUUUGUCCAACAAUGCAGCAUGAGUAGUGACUACCUAUAAGAUGUAUGAUUUUAACCUUUUUAUGUUUGUUUAAGUUGUUCUUGACUCUGCUGCUUCAAGUUCUAAAUUACUCUUUGUUUAUGUAGUGUUAACGACUCAUUAUUUCAGUAAUGUUAACGAGCAUUGCCAGUAUACAAAAGCAUCUACUGUGCAGUAUUUUAUUGUUC